rnacentral:rRNA from 1 species
GACGAACGCUGGCGGCGUGCUUAACACAUGCAAGUCGAACGGAAAGGCCCUGCUUUUGUGGGGUGCUCGAGUGGCGAACGGGUGAGUAACACGUGAGUAACCUGCCCUUGACUUUGGGAUGACUUCAGGAAACUGGGGCUAAUACCGGAUAGGAGCUCCUGCUGCAUGGUGGGGGUUGGAAAGUUUCGGCGGUUGGGGAUGGACUCGCGGCUUAUCAGCUUGUUGGUGGGGUAGUGGCUUACCAAGGCUUUGACGGGUAGCCGGCCUGAGAGGGUGACCGGCCACAUUGGGACUGAGAUACGGCCCAGACUCCUACGGGAGGCAGCAGUGGGGAAUAUUGCACAAUGGGCGGAGGCCUGAUGCAGCAACGCCGCGUGCGGGAUGACGGCCUUCGGGUUGUAAACCGCUUUCGCCUGUGACGAAGCGUGAGUGACGGUAAUGGGUAAAGAAGCACCGGCUAACUACGUGCCAGCAGCCGCGGUGAUACGUAGGGUGCGAGCGUUGUCCGGAUUUAUUGGGCGUAAAGGGCUCGUAGGUGGUUGAUCGCGUCGGAAGUGUAAUCUUGGGGCUUAACCCUGAGCGUGCUUUCGAUACGGGUUGACUUGAGGAAGGUAGGGGAGAAUGGAAUUCCUGGUGGAGCGGUGGAAUGCGCAGAUAUCAGGAGGAACACCAGUGGCGAAGGCGGUUCUCUGGGCCUUUCCUGACGCUGAGGAGCGAAAGCGUGGGGAGCGAACAGGCUUAGAUACCCUGGUAGUCCACGCUGUAAACGGUGGGUACUAGGUGUGGGGUCCAUUCCACGGGUUCCGUGCCGUAGCUAACGCUUUAAGUACCCCGCCUGGGGAGUACGGCCGCAAGGCUAAAACUCAAAGGAAUUGACGGGGCCCCGCACAAGCGGCGGAGCAUGCGGAUUAAUUCGAUGCAACGCGUAGAACCUUACCUGGGUUUGACAUGGAUCGGGAGUGCUCAGAGAUGGGUGUGCCUCUUUUGGGGUCGGUUCACAGGUGGUGCAUGGCUGUCGUCAGCUCGUGUCGUGAGAUGUUGGGUUAAGUCCCGCAACGAGCGCAACCCUUGUUCACUGUUGCCAGCACGUUAUGGUGGGGACUCAGUGGAGACCGCCGGGGUCAACUCGGAGGAAGGUGGGGAUGACGUCAAGUCAUCAUGCCCCUUAUGUCCAGGGCUUCACGCAUGCUACAAUGGCUGGUACAGAGAGUGGCGAGCCUGUGAGGGUGAGCGAAUCUCGGAAAGCCGGUCUCAGUUCGGAUUGGGGUCUGCAACUCGACCUCAUGAAGUCGGAGUCGCUAGUAAUCGCAGAUCAGCAACGCUGCGGUGAAUACGUUCCCGGGGCU